rnacentral:rRNA from 1 species
GCGCGGGAAUUCGAUUCCGAAUUCGUCGACCCCAGAGUUUGAACCUUGGCUCAGAUUGAACGCUGGCGGCAGGCCUAACACAUGCAAGUCGAGCGGAUGAUGGGAGCUUGCUCCCGGAUUCAGCGGCGGACGGGUGAGUAAUGCCUAGGAAUCUGCCUGGUAGUGGGGGACAACGUUUCGAAAGGAACGCUAAUACCGCAUACGUCCUACGGGAGAAAGCAGGGGACCUUCGGGCCUUGCGCUAUCAGAUGAGCCUAGGUCGGAUUAGCUAGUUGGUGGGGUAAAGGCCUACCAAGGCGACGAUCCGUAACUGGUCUGAGAGGAUGAUCAGUCACACUGGAACUGAGACACGGUCCAGACUCCUACGGGAGGCAGCAGUGGGGAAUAUUGGACAAUGGGCGAAAGCCUGAUCCAGCCAUGCCGCGUGUGUGAAGAAGGUCUUCGGAUUGUAAAGCACUUUAAGUUGGGAGGAAGGGCAGUAAGUUAAUACCUUGCUGUUUUGACGUUACCAACAGAAUAAGCACCGGCUAACUUCGUGCCAGCAGCCGCGGUAAUACGAAGGGUGCAAGCGUUAAUCGGAAUUACUGGGCGUAAAGCGCGCGUAGGUGGUUUGGUAAGAUGGAUGUGAAAUCCCCGGGCUCCACCUGGGAACUGCAUCCAUAACUGCCUGAC